AUGAACGCUGGCGGCGUGCCUAAUACCUGCCAGUCGAGCGCACGGACGAGAAGCUUGCUUUUCUGAUGUUAGCGGCGGACGGGUGAGUAACACGUGGAUAACCUACCUAUAAGACUGGGAUAACUUCGGGAAACCGGAGCUAAUACCGGAUAAUAUUUUGAACCGCAUGGUUCAAAAGUGAAAGACGGUCUUGCUGUCACUUAUAGAUGGAUCCGCGCUGCAUUAGCUAGUUGGUAAGGUAACGGCUUACCAAGGCAACGAUGCAUAGCCGACCUGAGAGGGUGAUCGGCCACACUGGAACUGAGACACGGUCCAGACUCCUACGGGAGGCAGCAGUAGGGAAUCUUCCGCAAUGGGCGAAAGCCUGACGGAGCAACGCCGCGUGAGUGAUGAAGGUCUUCGGAUCGUAAAACUCUGUUAUUAGGGAAGAACAUAUGUGUAAGUAACUGUGCACAUCUUGACGGUACCUAAUCAGAAAGCCACGGCUAACUACGUG
rnacentral:rRNA from 1 species